UGUUGUUAAACGGCAGAAAUUCAAACAGCUUCCGACUGGCGGUGAAAUUUCUGUCUUCCAAAAACGUUUAACGAAACGGAAAUUCCUGAAGAAAAAAAGAAGUGAUUGCAAAUAUUACGAAGGCCUUUUGCAAUUGCGUUUCAAUUAGUAUUUAUAGGCAGAAAUAAUUUCAAUUAAUUCAUUUCUCCUUCAAACAUCCAAACCGGCCUAGAAAUGGGCCAGCACAAAAGAGAAAAUCCUCAAUAUGCUGAUAAACAUGACUCAAAAGAAGCUGCAUGAUAUGCUCCUAAAAUCUGGAGAGGAUCUCCUGCUUUACAGACACGUUUACUUUACAAGUUACUCUAAAACAAUUUUUUAUUCAAAUUAACUCACCUUUCUUGAUUUUGGAGAAAUCCUGUUAGGACGAACCCUUGGUGCGACUUUAAAGAAAAAGAUAAUCUCAGUCCUCGUACAGCAGCGUAAUAGAUUCCUCGUCCAGCAGCAAGAAAGAGGAAGAAGUUAAAAAAAAUGGGACAGAAAAAUUCAUCGGUUAAGAAAGUUGGAUUAAGAAGUAUACUGAGCACAACGGCUCAUACGGCAAUCGAAGGAAACUAGAAAGACAAGAACAAGUUUCUAAAUCUUUAACUUGUCUUCCUUAUACCGAGAAACCGGAACCAUCCACACCCCGAUUUAAUGGGAUGUUCGUGCAUGUUCCAUCUCCCAUUUGAGUAUAAAUACUCGUGGAUUUGGUACUUGAAGUCAGAGUUCUCUCAGCUCUCCUUCAAGCUCCAGCUUCAGAAGUAAGACAAACCUUUAAACUCAUUUUUUUUGUACUCAUGUAUGCAUUGUGCUAUAGAAAUUAAAUACAAGGUUUAAAGCAUUAA